UCUCACUAUUCCUAAUUCCUUUAUACGCCGCUCAAACAGACUCGCCCUAGAGAUUCAAUUCUCUUCAUUUGUCCUUCAUUCUUAUUUGCAGUUUCACGCCGAUUAACUUGAUUUCUUGCAGUUUCAAAGUGAAAAAAUUCUAGGUUUCUUUUUCGUAAUCCUAGUGAUUAAUUAAGAGCACUCCCUAUUUUCGGUGACCGAGUGUCCUCAAAUGGCGUGGUCAAAAACUUUAUCGACGACGAUAGUUUUUAAUGGCGUGGUCAGAAAAGUCUCAAUGACGAUAGGGACAAGGAAAACUGAAAUAUGGAAGAGCAAGUGGAAGAUGAAAUGACGUUCAAUGUGUUACUGUUACUUAAUUCAUGUGCAUUCUUGCCUAGCUAGAUAAAAUUAGAUACUCCAUUAGAUAUUCAGAGUUAGAUUUUUUAUUAAUAUAGUGACAAAUCCAUUUUACAUGUAUUUACUUUGACAUUUAGAAAAUAUUUAUUUCACACUUUUACCUAA